rnacentral:rRNA from 1 species
AUGGUUUCCUCCAAGAACGCCCGCUGCACCGCGCUUCUUCUCUUGGCCGUGCUGCUGCUCUCGUGCGCCGCCAUGGGCCGCGCGGCACGGGGCCUGGAGGAGACGGCGCCUGAGGAUAAUUACCCGGCCGAGGCGCCGGAGUCGUCGCCUGAGGACAAUUACCCGGCCGAGGCGUCGGAGUCGUCGCCGUUCCCGGACUUCCGGUCGUUCCCGAAAGUCGAGCUGCCGCCCAUGCCCGAGAUGCCUACAAUUCCCGGGUUCAGCUCUCCCGAGCCGGAGCCGGAGGCCGAUGAGCCAUGA